GGCAGGCAGAGGGAAGAGAAAGGGUCUGUUGUUUUUCUCUCCUGUUUCUCGCUCCCUCUCUGCUGAUCACAAAGCUGCUGACCGGGUCAGAAAGUCCUGAUGGAAAUCCACCAGCGCUGGGCAGGCCCCUCCUCCUCCAGGGAGCUUGUCCUUGCCUAAUUUUUCUUCGUCCUGAUGAGAACAAAAAAGAGAGAGAGAAGAAAAGAAAAACCACAAACUUCCUUUGAAAACCAGCUUGUAGUCAGGGCCCGGAGCGCAUGCCAUAGACUCGGCGACUCAGGAAUCCUGAAGACUCUCUGAGCGACCUGGAGCACCUUGGCUGUGUCCCUGCCUGCCUUCACCCUCCUCCAGUGCCCCCAGUACUGGGCGUGAGUCCGGAAGUGGCCACAACCCAGCCUGGACCGUCGCUUAUAAAGCUGUGUAAACCUGUAUAAGCUCAGGCGUUGACAGCUGGAAGGCAGCUGGCACUGGCAGCCCCCUUCAUUGCACCUAUCUCCCCCAUCUCAUUGCCACGGCUGAACCCUCCUUCUCAAUCUUGGAACAGCACCCCCUUCUUUAAGUGGAAGGUGAAGCUCCCCCCGCAGAAGGAAGUGAUCACAUCGGAUGAGCUCAUGGCCCAUCUUGGAAACUGCCUCCUGUCCAUCAAGCCCCAGGAGAAGUCAGAGGGACUUCAGCUUAAUUUUCAGCAGAGUCCUGAGGCUGUGCGUGCAGUUGGGAAACUGAGUUACAACCAGCUGGUGGAGAGGAUCAUCACCUGCAAACACUCCAGUGACACCAACCUCGUGACAGAAGGCCUGAUUGCAGAGCAGUUCCUGGAGACCACCGCGGCCCAGCUGACCUACCACGGACUGUGUGAGCUGACAGCAGCUGCUAAGGAGGGUGAACUUAGCGUC
rnacentral:lncRNA from 1 species